ensembl:lncRNA
GAUGAAUCAGUGUGGAAUGAUUAGUCAACUUUCCAAAUGAAAUACAUUCGAGUUUCAGAUGAAUUCAGUUUUCCCCCAAGAAAAGUAGGUUUGUACUGUACUUGCGUCAUAAUAUUUGUGAAAAGAAAGAGUACAUUCUUAUAUUUUUUCCCAAAAAGGUAUAUGCAAAACUUUUGCCUCUUGGGGACUUCCCUGGUGGUCCAGUGGUUAAGAAUUUGCCUGCCACUGCAGGCAGGCAAUGCAACUGUUUCGUCAGGAGUCUGGGAAGAUUCCACAUGCCACGGGGCAACUCAGCCCAGGCACCCCAACUACUGAAGCCCUCAUGCCCUGGAGCCUGUGCUCUGCAACAAGAAAAGCCACCGUAAUGAGAAGCCCAAGGACCACAACUAGAAAAACCUACAAGCAGCAACGAAGACCCAGUGCAGUCAUAAAUAAAUAAAAACUCUGCCUCUUCGGUAAUGGUAACAGCUGCCACCACAAUCAUAAUAAUAACAGCAGCCUGUAUAUAGAGUUUUUGUACCAGGCACUCUGAGCAGAGCGCUUGGUGUUGUCUCUAAGGUUGUCAUUAGCCCAUUUUACAGGUGAGGAAAUGGAGAACCAGGGAGGAAUAGGGCAGGAAUCCCUGUCUGCUUAACUCCACAGUUCUUGUUCUGAGUCCUGAGCCCCCAUGGGAGGCUGCAACUUUGAAAGAGCAGUUUUUCUGGUUUCUUUCCUUGAGGUUAAGAUACAUCCUGAGGCCAAGGUUCUGCAACUGGAGACUCCAGGGGUGUCUCUCCCAGGAGACCUGCUAUGUAGUCAGGCUGUCCCAUCCCAUCAGGGUCUGGAAUCUUUGCUGCGUCAAGGCCCCAUGUCAUCAGCACCAGAUCUUCUAAUGACACACUGCAGCCUGGGAAAUUACAGUGCCCAGGAGACUUGUCCCAGAGGCCUUGCUCAGGGUAAUUCCAGAGCAGGAGAGAAUGCUGGGAAUAACAAGAAAAACAGAGUCAGGCUGCCAGCCUUAGGUAAUGGAAUGGUGUGUUGUGGCCAUGGAGCAUGGGGGAUGGAGAAUUUUAUUUUCUAAAACAGAUUUUUCUCCCUAAAUUUUAAAAAUACUGAAAAAUGCAAAAUCAAAAGUAAAAAUGAUACUCAGUCUUAUCAUUUAAAAUUAUGCCUUUCAAUGCCACUCCCCAGAAAUGAUGACUGUUACAGGAGGCUUUGAUUCAUCUCCUUCUGAAGUUGGCCUCUGCUUCUACAUAUGCACAUGGACAAUUUUCAUGAAUGGAGUCAAGUUUUGCAUGUUGGCCUGCAAGCUGCUUCUGUCACUUAAUGAUGCGUCAGAUAUUUCUUGCUUGACUAGUAUAGGAGCUGAACUUAGAGGAUGCUAAUAUUCAUUUAAAAGGUGAGUACCACUUGACACAGAACCGGAGUGAAGGUAUGGAGCAACUGGAACUCUCUUCUGAGGAUGGUGGGGAUAACAAACAAUUGGUUUAACCAUUUUUGGAAAACUGCUUGCCACUGUCUACUAAAGCUAAUCGUACCCGCAUCAGAAAUGCAUACACACAUUCACCAAAAGGCCUGGGCAAGAACAUUCCCAGCAGCACUAUUCAAAUAGCCGCAAUUCAAAAGUCCAUCAAAAAUAGAGUGAGUUUUUAAAAAUGUGAUUUAUUUAUACAGUGGACGUCAUAUACCAAUGGAAAGGAAAGAACCAUAACUGCACACAAGAGCAAAUCUCACAGGUGUGGUGCUCAGCUAAGAAGCCAGACACACAAAACCCAUACGGCAUGAUUCCAUUUGUAUAAAGCUCAAUGUCAGGCCAAAUGAGUCUAUGGUUUUAGACGUCAGGAAGGGGCACAAGAGGAACUUCUGGGGGCUAAAGUGCUGUUUCUUAAUCUUAGUCUACUGGCUAUUUACAUGGGAUGUUCCAUUUGUCAGAAUUCACUGAGCUGUGCGCUUACACUGAAGAUCUGUGUACUUUUCUGUAUGUGUCAUACUUCAGUUAGAGUCUAUUUUCUAAAGAGAGGCUCAAUGGCAUUCAGUCCCUUCCCCUGAAAUCAGUCCUGUUUCCCCUAGGUUUGCCCCUUUCUCUCUCUCUUCCAGAACCUUCGGAGCGCACACAGCAGGUGUGGCAUAUUGCCAUCGGUCCUGUGGGGCAGAGAGAGGAAAAGUCGACCUUCAGGUCCUGGAAGCCCUGGUGGGACCCAGUGGCCAGCCUUGGGAGAGCACUCAGGCCGCACCGCCCCCCAGGCUUGCUCCGAAGUAGAUAAGAAUCUACCUGCCAAUGCAGGGAACAGAGGUUCGAUCCUUUGUCCAGGAAGAUCUCCCAAACUGCGGAGCAACUAAGCCUUGGUACCACAACUUCUGAGCCCACCCUCUACACCCUACGAGCCACAGCUACUGAAACACACGUGCCUGGAGCCUAUUUUCUGCAACAAGAGUACCCACUCCAAUGAGAAGCCUCUGCUUGUUGCAACUCGAGAAUUCCCACUCACAGCAAUGAAGACCCAGGGCAGAAAAAAAAAAAUCACAAUUGCUAUUAAAAAUAUUUUAUGUUAUGAUGUGUCUAUUAAUUGUUUAAUAGCAUCAUGUCUAAAAACAAAGUGCAUACCUUAAUUAAAAAACACUUUAUCGACUAAAAAAAGGCUAACCAUCACCUGAGCCUUCAGUGAGUCGUAAUCUCUGAUCAUUGAUCACAGAUCACCGUAACAAAUACAAAAAUGUUGAAAAAGUUCAAAAU